rnacentral:rRNA from 1 species
GAUGAACGCUGACAGAAUGCUUAACACAUGCAAGUCCACUUGAAUUUGGGUUUUUAACUUAGGUUUGGGUGGCGGACGGGUGAGUAACGCGUAAAGAACUUGCCUCACAGCUAGGGACAACAUUUGGAAACGAAUGCUAAUACCUAAUAUUAUGAUAAUAGGGCAUCCUAUAAUUAUGAAAGCUAUAAGCGCUGUGAGAGAGCUUUGCGUCCCAUUAGCUAGUUGGAGAGGUAACGGCUCACCAAGGCGAUGAUGGGUAGCCGGCCUGAGAGGGUGAUCGGCCACAAGGGGACGGAGACACGGCCCUUACUCCUACGGGAGGCAGCAGUGGGGAAUAUUGGACAAUGGACCGAGAGUCUGAUCCAGCAAUUCUGUGUGCACGAUGAAGUUUUUCGGAAUGUAAAGUGCUUUCAGUUGGGAAGAAACAAAUGACGGUACCAACAGAAGAAGUGACGGCUAAAUACGUG